ACGUUGGCGGCGCGCUUAACACAUGCAAGUCGAACGCGAAAAGUCUUCGGGACUGAGUAGAGUGGCGCACGGGUGAGUAACACGUGAGUAACCUACCCUCGAGCUCGGGAUAACCUGCCGAAAGGCGGGCUAAUACCGGAUGAGACCACGACCCCCGCGGGGGCUGUGAGAAAAGUUGGGGACCCGAAACGGNCUGACACUCGAGGCUGGGCUCGCGUGCUAUCAGCUUGUUGGUGGGGUAAUGGCCUACCAAGGCGAAGACGGGUAGCUGGUCUGAGAGGAUGAUCAGCCACACUGGAACUGAGAACACGGUCCAGACUCCUACCGGGAGGCAGCAGUUGGGGAAUUUUGCGCAAUGGGCGAAAGCUUGACGCAAGCGACGCCGCGUGUGCCGAUGAAGGCCCUUGGGUCGUAAAGCACUGUCAAGCGGGAAGAAAACCUCUCGGUUAAUACCCGAGAGGCUUGACGGUACCAGCUGGAGGGAAGCACCGGCUAACUCUGUGCCAGCAGCCGCGGGUAAUACCAGAGGGUGCAAACGUUGCUCGGAAUUACUGGGCGUAAAGAGCGUGUAGGCGGACUGGUAAAGUCGGCUGUGAAAGCCCAAUGGUCAACCAUUGGAAGUGCAGUCGAUACCUGGCGGGCUAAAGUCCCGGA
rnacentral:rRNA from 1 species